rnacentral:rRNA from 1 species
GAUUCAGCGGCGGACGGGUGAGUAAUGCCUAGGAAUCUGCCUGGUAGUGGGGGACAACGUUCCGAAAGGGACGCUAAUACCGCAUACGUCCUACGGGAGAAAGUGGGGGAUCUUCGGACCUCACGCUAUCAGAUGAGCCUAGGUCGGAUUAGCUAGUAGGUGAGGUAAAGGCUCACCUAGGCGACGAUCCGUAACUGGUCUGAGAGGAUGAUCAGUCACACUGGAACUGAGACACGGUCCAGACUCCUACGGGAGGCAGCAGUGGGGAAUAUUGGACAAUGGGCGAAAGCCUGAUCCAGCCAUGCCGCGUGUGUGAAGAAGGUCUUCGGAUUGUAAAGCACUUUAAGUUGGGAGGAAGGGCAGUAAGUUAAUACCUUGCUGUUUUGACGUUACCAACAGAAUAAGCACCGGCUAACUUCGUGCCAGCAGCCGCGGUAAUACGAAGGGUGCAAGCGUUAAUCGGAAUUACUGGGCGUAAAGCGCGCGUA